rnacentral:rRNA from 1 species
GACGAACGCUGGCGGCGUGCUUAACACAUGCAAGUCGAACGGAAAGGCCCUGCUUUUGUGGGGUGCUCGAGUAGCGAACGGGUGAGUAACACGUGAGUAACCUGCCCUUGACUUUGGGAUAACUUCAGGAAACUGGGGCUAAUACCGGAUAGGAGCUCCUGCUGCAUGGUGGGGGUUGGAAAGUUUCGGCGGUUGGGGAUGGACUCGCGGCUUAUCAGCUUGUUGGUGGGGUAGUGGCUUACCAAGGCUUUGACGGGUAGCCGGCCUGAGAGGGUGACCGGCCACAUUGGGACUGAGAUACGGCCCAGACUCCUACGGGAGGCAGCGGUGGGGAAUAUUGCACAAUGGGCGGAAGCCUGAUGCAGCAACGCCGCGUGCGGGAUGACGGCCUUCGGGUUGUAAACCGCUUUCGCCUGUGACGAAGCGUGAGUGACGGUAAUGGGUAAAGAAGCACCGGCUAACUACGUG